GCGGAUGUGGCUCAGGGGUAGAGCAUCGCCUUGCCAAGGCGAGGGUCGCGAGUUCGAAUCUCGUCAUCCGCUCCA
rnacentral:tRNA from 2 species